UGCCAGCCGCCGCGGUACUACUGAUUUUGCAAUCGUUAUCCGUAAUCAUUGGGUUUAAAGGGUCCGUAGGCGGAUAAUUAAGUCAGGGGUGAAAGUCUGCAGCUCAACUGUAGGACUGCCCUUGAUACUGGUUAUCUUGAAUCGUUGUGAAGUGGCUAGAAUAUGUAGUGUAGCGGUGAAAUGCAUAGAUAUUACAUAGAAUACCGAUUGCGAAGGCAGGUCACUAACAACGUAUUGACGCUGAGGGACGAAAGCGUGGGGAGCGAACAGGAUUAGAUA
rnacentral:rRNA from 1 species